UGUUUUUACCAGUAUAUGA
rnacentral:miRNA from 1 species